rnacentral:rRNA from 1 species
CCUACGGGGGGCAGCAGUGGGGAAUAUUGGACAAUGGGGGCAACCCUGAUCCAGCCAUGCCGCGUGUGUGAAGAAGGCCCUCGGGUUGUAAAGCACUUUCAGUGAGGAAGAACGCCUGGUGGUUAAUACCCAUCAGGAAAGACAUCACUCACAGAAGAAGCACCGGCUAACUCCGUGCCAGCAGCCGCGGUAAUACGGAGGGUGCGAGCGUUAAUCGGAAUUACUGGGCGUAAAGCGCGCGUAGGUGGCUUGAUAAGCCGGUUGUGAAAGCCCCGGGCUCAACCUGGGAACGGCAUCCGGAACUGUCAAGCUAGAGUGCAGGAGAGGAAGGUAGAAUUCCCGGUGUAGCGGUGAAAUGCGUAGAGAUCGGGAGGAAUACCAGUGGCGAAGGCGGCCUUCUGGACUGACACUGACGCUGAGGUGCGAAAGCGUGGGUAGCAAACAGGAUUAGAUACCCCUGUAGUC